UACGGGAGGCAGCAGUGGGGAAUUUUGGACAAUGGGCGCAAGCCUGAUCCAGCAAUGCCGCGUGCAGGAUGAAGGCCUUCGGGUUGUAAACUGCUUUUGUACGGAGCGAAACGGUGAGCUCUAAUAAAGCUCGCUAAUGACGGUACCGUAAGAAUAAGCACCGGCUAACUACGUG
rnacentral:rRNA from 1 species